rnacentral:rRNA from 2 species
GUCGAGCGCACAGGUUUACCUGUGAGCGGCAGACGGGUGAGUAACGCGUGGGAAUCUACCUUAAGCUGCGGGAUAACAGAGAGAAAUUUCUGCUAAUACCGCAUGUGCCCGGAAGGGGAAAGAUUUAUCGGCUUAAGAUGAGCCCGCGUUGGAUUAGCUAGUUGGUGGGGUAAAGGCCUACCAAGGCGACGAUCCAUAGCUGGUCUGAGAGGAUGAUCAGCCACACUGGGACUGAGACACGGCCCAGACUCCUACGGGAGGCAGCAGUGGGGAAUAUUGGACAAUGGGCGCAAGCCUGAUCCAGCCAUGCCGCGUGAGUGAUGAAGGCCUUAGGGUUGUAAAGCUCUUUCACCGGGGAAGAUAAUGACGGUACCCGGAGAAGAAGCCCCGGCUAACUUCGUGCCAGCAGCCGCGGUAAUACGAAGGGGGCUAGCGUUGUUCGGAAUUACUGGGCGUAAAGAGCGCGUAGGCGGAAAAGUAAGUCAGGGGUGAAAUCCCGGGGCUCAACCCCGGAAUUGCCUUUGAUACUGUUUUUCUUGAGUGCAGAAGAGGUAUGUGGAAUUCCGAGUGUAGAGGUGAAAUUCGUAGAUAUUCGGAAGAACACCGGUGGCGAAGGCGGCUUACUGGUCUGCAACUGACGCUGAGGCGCG